rnacentral:SRP_RNA from 1 species
GCCGAGCAUGGUGGUGCGUGCCUGUAGUCCCAGCUACUCGGGAGGCUGAGGUGGGAGGACUGCUUGAGCCCAGGAGUUCUGGGCUGUAGUGCGCUAUGCCGAUCAGGUGUCCACACUAAGUUCGGCAUCAAUAUGGUGACCUCCCGGGAGCGGGGGACCACCAGGUUGCCUAAGGAGGGGUGAACCGGCCCAGGUCAGAAACAGAGCAGGUCAAAACUCCUGUGCUGAUCAGUAGUGGGGCCGUGCCUGUGAAAAGCCACUGCACUCCAGCCUGGGCAAUAUAGCUAGACCCCGUCUCU